AACCCUCAAAGCCUAGUCUUUGGUGUUGGGGCUCUACCCGUCAAAGGGUAUGCCCUGAAAUGUAGUGGCGGGCUCGCUAGAAUUUUGAGCGUAGUAAUUUAUACCUCGUUUGUAAAGACUAGUGGGACUUCUAGCCAUAAAACACCCCCAAUUUUUGAAAAAUUGACCUCGGAUCAGGUAGGAAUACCCGCUGAACUUAA
rnacentral:misc_RNA from 1 species